rnacentral:rRNA from 1 species
CUGCCAGUCGUCCGUACCGUAAACCGACACAGGUGGGUGAGGCGAGUAGCCUCAGGUGAACGAGUGAAACGUGGUCAAGGAACUCGGCAUAAUGAUCCCGUAACUUCGGAAGAAGGGAUGCCUUGUUUGGUAACCGGACUUGCUCCGGGAGCAGAAUGAGGCCGCAGAGAAUCGGCCCAAGCGACUGUUUAGCAAAAACACAGGUGCGUGCCAAGCCGCAUAAGGCGCCGUAUACGCACUGACGCCUGCCCGGUGCCGGAAGGUUAAGGGGAGAGGUUAGCCGCAAGGCGAAGCUUUGAGCCGAAGCCCCGGUAAACGGCGGCCGUAACAAUAACGGUCCUAAGGUAGCGAAAUUCCUUGUCGGGUAAGUUCCGACCUGCACGAAUGGCGUAACGACUUGGGCACUGUCUCGACCACGUGCUCGGCGAAAUUGCAGUCUCGGUGAGGAUUCCGAGUCCCCGCAGCAGGACAAAAAGACCCCAUGCACCUUUACUGCAGCUUGUCAUUGGACAUUGCACUUCACUGUGUAGCAUAGGUGGGAGCCGGUGAACCCUGGGCGCUAGCCUGGGGGGAGGCAUCAGUGAAAUACCACCCUGUGUAGUGCGAUGCCCUCACCACGGAAGGCAAACCCUUUCUGGGACCGUGGCAGGCGGGCAGUUUGACUGGGGCGGUCGCCUCCGAAAGAGUAACGGAGGCGCGCGCAAGGUUGGCUCAGCGCGGUCGGUACUCGCGCUUCUAGAGUGUAACGGCAAAAGCCAGCCUGACGGAGAGACCGACGGGUCGACCCGCCACGAAAGUGGGCCGUAGUGAUCCGGUAGCCCGGGGUGGAGCGGCUAUCGCGCAACGGAUAAAAGGUACGCUGGGGAUAACAGGCUUAUCGCGCCCGAGAGUUCACAUCGACGGCGCGGUUUGGCACCUCGAUGUCGGCUUAUCACAUCCUGGGGCUGGAGAAGGUCCCAAGGGUCCGGCUGUUCGCCGGUUAAAGUGGUACAUGAGCUGGGUUCAGAACGUCGUGAGACAGUUCGGUCUGUAUCCGCUGUGGGCGUUGGAGUGUUGAGGGGAGCGGACUCUAGUACGAGAGGACCGAGUCGGACGAUCCGCUCGUGUCCCGGCUGUCCUGCCAAGGGCACCGCCGGGUAGCGAUGAUCGGCUGUGAUAACCGCUGAAUGCAUCUAAGUGGGAAGCACGCCCCAAGAUGAACACUCCCGAGGCUUCGAGCCUCCUGAAGGGCCGGGGAAGACCACCCCGUCGAUAGGCCGCCCGUGGACGUCGAGCGAUCGACUCCGAGCGCAGCGGUCCUAAUCGCCCGUGCGGCUUGACUAC